rnacentral:rRNA from 1 species
GACGAACGCUGGCGGUGUGCUUAACACAUGCAAGUCGAACGGUAAGGCCCUUUCGGGGGUACACGAGUGGCGAACGGGUGAGUAACACGUGAGUAACCUGCCCUCAUCUCUGGGAUAACAGUCGGAAACGGUUGCUAAUACUGGAUAUGAAAUUGCAAGGCAUCUUGUGGGUUGGAAAGUUUUUUUUUGGUUGGGGAUGGACUCGCGGCCUAUCAGCUUGUUGGUGAGGGAGUGGCUCACCAAGGCUUCGACGGGGAGCCGGCCUGAGAGGGCGACCGGCCACAUUGGGACUGAGAUACGGCCCAAACUCCUACGGGGGGCAGCAGUGGGGAAUAUUGCACAAUGGACGGAAGUCUGAUGCAGCAACGCCGCGUGCGGGAUGACGGCCUUCGGGUUGUAAACCGCUUUCAAUUGUGACGAAGCUUUUUUGUGACGGUAGCAGUAGAAGAAGCACCGGCUAACUACGUG